CACGUAGGGAGCAAGCGUUGUCCGGAAUCAUUGGGCGUAAAGCGCGCGUAGGUGGCUUCGUAAGUCCGUUGUGAAAGUCAAAGGCUCAACCUUUGAAAGCCGAUGGAUACUGUGAAGCUAGAGUACGGAAGAGGCGAGUGGAAUUCCUGGUGUAGCGGUGGAAUGCGCAGAUAUCAGGAGGAACACCAGCGGCGAAGGCGGCGCUCUGGGCCGGAACUGACGCUGAGGAGCGAAAGCGUGGGUAGCAAACAGG
rnacentral:rRNA from 1 species